AUACGUAGGUGGCGAGCGUUGUCCGGAUUUACUGGGCGUAAAGGGAGCGUAGGCGGAUUUUUAAGUGAGAUGUGAAAUACUCGGGCUUAACCUGAGUGCUGCAUUUGAUACGUGUAGACUAGAGUGUGAGAGAGGGUUGUGGAAUUCCCAGUGUAGAGGUGAAAUUCGUAGAUAUUGGGAAGAACACCGGUGGCGAAGGCGGCUGUCUGGUCUGUAACUGACGCUGAGGCUCGAAAGUAUGGGUAGC
rnacentral:rRNA from 1 species